UCCCCAGUGGCUUAGGGGUAAAGAAUCCGCCUGUAACAUGGAAGACCCAGGUUCAAUCCCUGGGUUGGGAU
rnacentral:tRNA from 1 species